AGCGCUAUACGGGAUUUGCACCCGCGACCACCUGCGUACUCCUCUCCGCAUCAAGGGACGCGAGCCGGAAACAGAUACUCUUUCUACUGAGCUAAUAGCGC
rnacentral:tRNA from 1 species